rnacentral:rRNA from 1 species
UACAGAGGUCUCAAGCGUUUGUUCGGAUUCAUUGGGCGUAAAGGGCGCGUAGGCUGCGGGGCAAGUCGGGUGUGAAAUCUCAGAGCUCAACUCUGAAACUGCACUCGAUACUGCUUUGCUCGAGGACUGGAGAGGAGAUUGGAAUUCACGGUGUAGCAGUGAAAUGCGUAGAUAUCGUGAGGAAUACCAGAGGCGAAGGCGGCUACCUGGACAAUUGCUGACGCUCAGGCACGAAAGCGUGGGGAGCAAAAGGG